rnacentral:rRNA from 1 species
CAGUCGCCGCGGGAAUACAGAGGGUGCGAGCGUUAAUCGGAUUUACUGGGCGUAAAGCGUGCGUAGGCGGCUUCUUAAGUCGGAUGUGAAAUCCCUGAGCUUAACUUAGGAAUUGCAUUCGAUGCUGGGAAGCUAGAGUAUGGGAGAGGAUGGUAGAAUUCCAGGUGUAGCGGUGAAAUGCGUAGAGAUCUGGAGGAAUACCGAUGGCGAAGGCAGCCAUCUGGCCUAAUACUGACGCUGAGGUACGAAAGCAUGGGGAGCAAACAGGAUUAGAUACCCCCGUAGUCCCUGUCUCUUAUAC